UUGCAUUCCUCGCUAAAGUUACAUUUUUAGCUGUAUUCAAGAAAAAUGCUUCUGCUUCCAGUAACGCUAUCUGUGGGACCAGUCCCAAGACUGGUGCAUAGAGGGGGCGAGGCACUGGGGACAGUACGGUAAAAAUCGCCUUACCACAUCGCCCCCUCCUGGUCAGGAGGACAUGCGAGGAAGUGCAGUGGCUGUGUUUGCAAACGGGGAGGGUUUCCUGGCUCUCGUCUGGCCGUCCCAGCCUGAAGCGCCGGGACUUACUGCACACGCCCAAGGGAACACGUUGACCUGUGUGAGGUGUUGACAACGAGGUCAUGCAGAGUUUUGGCGGUAGGGGCCUGGCUGUGUCUAGGCCCAGACUCUGGCUUCUGGCAGGAAUGUGAUGAUAGAAGCUCUUCGUUGGGACGGCGCAUAUGCCCUCUGCCCCGUUACAGGUUAGCGGGUCACACCCCAUUCCGGUACGGCGCAGAGACCGCAGGGUCUACAUCAGGGCGACGUCACAGCGUCACCGGGCGGAUCUGCUGGAGAGCGUCAGCGGGCAGGCCUCAGGUUUCCCCGGUAACUGCCAGGUGAGGAGGAGGACGAGCACACGUGCAACCGAUAAACGUCUCCAAUCCCCUUUGAUGGUGGAGGACAUCUGCUGAAUUAAAAUAGACCGACGACAACACGAUGGGCGACCUGAGGAGACGGCCUUCCAAAACGAAUCCAGCACAAGGGAAAACCCGCUACGGCUCUGCUCCGUUCGCCCGCGCGUCCGAGAGAGAACGGCGCUCGGGACCAGGCUAUUAAAGCUUGCGCUGCUCUCUUCUUUUUGUUUGUUGUUUUUGUGUAUUUUUCUACUUUUAUAUUUUGCAUAUUUUCCAACUGCCGCUGUUGUGACAUAGUGUCAGUACGAUGUUGAAAACAAACAGAAAGGGGAACCUGCGUGCAUUUUGUUAGCGCUAAGCCCGAAGCCCUGCAGUGGUUAGAUUGAACGUGCCCCGAGUCUCUAAGGUUAGCCUGUCAGUUUUCCAAGUCUGGUUUUCAGCUGUGCAUCUGUGGCGUUCCUGGGUCAGGCUGAAUGAACUGCAUGCAUGUGUAAAGACAAGACUUCUGCCACGCCUUCCGUGGAUUUAAUUAAGGGGGGUCACAGAGUUCCCAGAGUUCUUUACCGUUUGGUGAAAGGGUUUAUGGCAGACGUUACAGCUUGUGGGAACCUCCAUUCAAAAAUACUUUUGUAACAGGUUUUGUUUUGUUUGGCUUCAGUUCAAUCUAACCGCAAUUAGUCUUUUUGUUUGUUUGUUUAAAUAGAUUUGGAAAAAGAUUGAGCAUUGAAAUACCAUAUUGUUUGUUUUAAUUCCCUGUGUGCGUUUCCUAAAGAACAGCUCUUUCCAUUUUGACUAAUGUAUAGUUUUUUCUUUUCCCUAACUCUUGCUUUUAAAAUGCUACUCUCUUACAUUUUACGAUUAAGGCCUUCAAAUCAGAACCAGACCUGCAUUAAAAUCAUACCAUGACUACAGCUGUUGGUAUUCCUCUGACCAGUGAGUCAUCUGCAUGCGUGUCUGCGUGCGUGUAUGUGUGUGUGUGUAUCCGUCUCGCUGUCUGUGGGUGUGUGUGUUUGUGUGUGUGUGUAUCUGCCUGUUUGUGUGCUUAUGUGUGUAUGUGCACCUGUGUGUUUGUGUGUGUCUGUCUGUGAAUGUGUGUCCAUAUGUAUCUGUGUGUGUUUGUGUGAGAGAGUAUGUGUGUGUGUUUGUGUCUUUCUGUGUGGUGGAGGGGGGGGUCAUUUUGUGCUAUUUAAAGAAACAGAUUAAUGUGAUGGACACACAGCAUAUCCAAUCAUAUUUCACUGGAAGAAGAACCGGCAUGUUUGGACACGCUGUAUUAUAUUUAGUUCAGAUUUGUUUUGUACAGUAAUUAUGAGGUGGAGAAGAAGAAGAAGAGUGUUCUCAUACAGGGUCUUUAAUGCAUAUCAAAGCCCUUUGCAAAAUAAAAAAAAUGCAAGUACAAGUGGCAGAGCAGAAGGGAGACGAAAUGCAAUAUGAGUGCACGGUGGGUUAAAGGCCAGGGAAGAUUAAAGUGGAGUUACGAUAUGCAAUGCUCAAAAGAGAACAAAAUGUCAGUGUUUAAAACUGUUUUGCCAAGCUGGAUUUAGGAAUUUUCCUUAAAAUCUUUUGGUUACAACAUAACCACAAUGUCACAUUAUCUCUUAAUCUGGACAACUGGGGACUGUUGGGUAGACAACAGAGAGCAGAAAAGAAGUUGCAUCUCGAUUUAGUCCUAAAAUCUUUUUUUAUGUAUAGUUGCAUGUAUGUAUGUAUAAGGUGCAUUCUCUUUAAUACAGUAAACAUACUGUACGUGUACUGUACGUGGAGAUGAACAAGUCCUCGUUUCACAUUGCUGUUCAAUGACAGUGGGGUGUGGUAUUCCGGUUCUGAUUUAUGGUUUAUUUAAAAUGCAAACUGACUGAGCAGGCAUGUGUGUGUACGUGACAGACUGCAAAAAUACAGCGGGACCAAACUGCUUCUGGAGUUGGUAUCCUGUGCAACAUCGCCCCCUUGUGUAUAGAUGUGGUUGUGGCGAAAGCUGCGGUUCAAAUUACAUUUGUUUUCCAGCUCUGAUCAUCAGUAGAUAAAUACCAUUUUGUAAUUAAAUUUUUUUUUCUUUCAUAAUACAACAACUAAGGAGUGGGCUUGCUUUUCUUGAGUACUCGUUGUAUUUAACUACAUGCUAACUUAUUCCUUGUUUAUAUGUCUUGUCAUUGUGAUGUUGUCAUAGUAAUUGUGCAUUUGUCAGGCCCCCCUUGAAAAAGAUAUCUAACUCAAUAAGGUUUUCCUGGAUAAAUAAAAGCAAA